rnacentral:siRNA from 1 species
AGAAACCAAGGGCUCGUACUCUCC